rnacentral:rRNA from 1 species
UGAUUUGAGUCGAUAUUUCGCCCCGGGGAGCUGUGCACCGUGCAGUGAUACAGCACUUCUUCAACCGAAUUGAAUGUCCGCUCGAAUACGAAUGAUGAAGAGGU